GUGUGGUAUUAUAUUAAUUUACUUAAUUUUUCUAAUAAGUGACAAAAAAGUCCACUUGCUGUAUCCAUUUUCUGGGAAGUCCCUGACAAGGCGGCUUGAGCCACCACGCCCAGCUAGCUUGUAUUUAAAAAAAAAAAAAAUUAUUUGUAGCUAUUUAGCUUAUCUUCAUGGUUGUAAUAUAUUUUUAAAAGGAAGGAAGGAUAUAUAGGAAUGACAAGGAGUUGGCCAUACUGAAAAGAUGCCUCUGGUUAUUCCUGUGAAAAGGUUUAUAAGAAAAGAAUGUCGUUAAUUACAAGUGAGUUCUGAGUUAGUGUUAUAGAAUAGCCUUCCCCCACCCCAGCUGUUUCUGAGUUAGUGUUAUAGAAUAGCCUUCCCCCACCCCAGCUG
rnacentral:lncRNA from 10 species